rnacentral:rRNA from 1 species
AGAAUCAACGCUGGCGGCGUGCCUAACACAUGCAAGUCGAACGAGAAAGGGUAGCAAUACCUGAGUACAGUGGCGCACGGGUGAGUAACACGUGACUAACCUACCCUGGAGUGGGGAAUAACUGAGGGAAACCUUAGCUAAUACCGCAUAAUACCUACGGGUCAAAGGAGCAAUUCGCUUCAGGAGGGGGUCGCGGCCGAUUAGCUAGUUGGCGGGGUAAUGGCCCACCAAGGCAAUGAUCGGUAUCCGGCCUGAGAGGGCGCACGGACACACUGGAACUGAAACACGGUCCAGACUCCUACGGGAGGCAGCAGUGGGAUUUUGCGCAAUGGGGGAAACCCUGACGCAGCAACGCCGCGUGGAGGAUGAAAUCCCUUGGGAUGUAAACUCCUUUCGAUCGGGACGAUUAUGACGGUACCGGAAGAAGAAGCCCCGGCUAACUUCGCGCCAGCAGCCGC